rnacentral:lncRNA from 1 species
GGGAGCCCUGGUUGCCAUAACAACUGAUUGGUCCUCUCCUCUUCCUCCACCUCUGCCACAGGGCUCCAGCUUCCCUCUGGGGGCACCACUGUUCUUAGAUGGCAGAGCAGAUGCAACGGCACCCCUGAGCUGCCCUCAGGGGGUCCUCAGCCUUGGAGGAGGCAGGAGACCUGGGCUAUGGAGCCACUCACAGGCCCUACUGAGAACAACUUGGUGUCCAUCACAGUCCUCUUCAGAAUGCCCAGAAUAUGGGGAUAAGAAGGUGAAACCGGCAUGUUUAUUAACACAAUGGAAUAUUCUGUGGCCAAAUCAAAGGAAGACGUUGAGGAUUCUGGUGACACCUGGAAACGUACUGCUAAGGGAAAAAAGCAGGACCACAAUGUUAUGUGGAUAUUGACUGCGACUAUAUAUAAUGCCAGCGUGGACUUCUCAGAGAUGGAAUUUGGAGGAAUGUAAUACAGAUGCAAAUAGAGUUUUCCCCACAUUGCCUUCUCCCGCGGUGUUUCUUCAUCUCUGUCAACAGCCUUGCCACCUACUCUGUUGCCCAAACCAGAAACUUGAUUCAAACUACACUUCUCCCUCUGCCCUCAUGCCCCGUUCCUGUUAGUCACAAGUCCUGCUGGUUCCAGCUCUGAGACAGCUUUCAGAGUACUCCUCCUCCUGUUCCCACAUUCACAUCCCUAGGGGACUCUCUCCUCCCAGCGUGUCUGUUCCCCCGCAUGCCCCCCACGCUCUGCUCCCCUGGCACCUCUGCCAUGCUGCUGCCCCAGGGCAGAUGUGGCCAAGGGGCUCCUCUCCUCCCACUCCUCGUUUGCUCCAGGAUCAAGGACACACUUCUUGGCCCAUUGAAGGCCCUUCCGGAUCCACUUCCUUAGCCUAGGCUCUAGCUUCUCCCUGCUUGCAGCCAUGCAGCAGGAGGCUCUCUUUAUUCCUCUUUGCCUGUGAAGAUAGCUGCCUCUGGCAGGAAUACCCUUUGCUGCCUCAUCUGCCUGGUCAACUCCUAUCCCCCAUUUCAGAUUUUGCCCAAGACUUUCUAAGACAGUAGAAGAAAGGUUUCCACUCCUUUCCCCUCCUGAAAACUGUACAGAAACCACAGGAGAACAGGAAUAGAAGCCUGAACUCCGUCUUUGGUGGAACAUGGAGACCUCCCUACUCUUGAAUCUCAAUACGUGGAGGGGGAAGCUGCUGGAGGAGGAUAAAGCGCUCAGCAGAGAGGAGAAACAUCAAACCUCUGUACUUACCAGUGGGGAAGGCACUAUAGAAAUGAGCUGAUUUUCUCUACAGAGACCCAGAAAGGGUCCAGGAUCAGAGGCACCAGGUAUCACAGGAAGUGGGGCAGGACCUGAGAAUAGGGGUAGGGGGUAGUUUGAAAGUCUGUGUAAGGAGCAGUAGACUUCCAAGUCCCACUCCAUCCUAUGCAGCCAGGUGACUGUCCUCCUUACUCCCACGAGAGACCAGAGGUCCUGGUCUCAGAGAUGCCAAGUGUGAAGAGAAGGGGUGAGGUGUCCUAAUAAAGGCUCCCAGCCUCCUUCCCCACCCACCUCCAGGGUACCAGAAUCAGGCUUAUGCCUGCAUCCUGCACUAACCCCAUGCAAAGAUUGAAGUGUGUUUUCACUGGAGGAAUUAAACAAGCCCAAAGAAAUGACUGACAGAUGCUUAUGCUCAGGGGUCUGUAGCAGAUAAGCUGGUGGGAGCAACUGAGUGUCCAAUUAACAUGCCACACUCAGGCACUUCAUACCUCCAACUGGCCCUGCAGUGGGGAACCAUUAAAUACCAACACACACCCAAAGAUCACGGACACUUGAGGGACACUUUCUCUCAGUAUUCUGAGGAAGAUAUGAACCAAGAGGAAA